ACACACACACACACACACAUAUCAAUAAUCAUUGUUCAUUCCUCUAUUUCUCACAUGUUCAUCAAUUCAUCCUUUGUAAUCCAAGAUGCAAAAUCUAACUACUAAUGUGUGUGUGUGUGUGUGUGUGAAACAUGUUGACUGGUAUGCAGAGUCAUGAGCAAACUUCAAUGACUAUAUUUUAAGCUUAAAACAAUGGCUCCUCUAUUUAGUAGGAUUUAUAAUUUUCUUAUAUUGAAAACACCACACUAUGUUAGAAGGACAUAGAUAAAUCCAUAAAGCCAACUACACAUCAAACAUAAUUAGUUCAUACAUGAGCAAUAAUUACUCCUAGAAAAGCCUUAAGCUUAGAAGAAAAGAAAAAAAAAAAAAAAGCAUCAGUUAGCAGCUCUAUCUCGUACUCAGAUAGUACAUAACAUUUCAUCUUAGAACCGUCAACAAUCAAUGAACAAUACAUUAUUGCCAAAGUAGUCGUGUUGCUGUUGAUCAGAGAACUCAAAACUAGUGUUCUACUUCUAUUGUGUUGGGCUUUUCCAUUAACUUGCAGACCAUUCUAGAAAUUUAUCAUAUAUAGAAAAAGGCAAAGCUGAAAGAGAAAAAACCAGUGAACCUAAAAUUUCAAUACAGAUCAUAGAACAAAACAUUUUAGUAAAUGUUAACUACUCCCGAUUUUUUAGUUUUUCUCUAUAAUUAGAAUCCAAGGACGUGAUAGGAGAAAUAGGGAAACUUUAAUAAUGAACAAUCUCUUACAGUGAGAACUAAUGGUUGGACUAAUGCAGAUGCAACAACAAAAUUGUAGUGGACAGGUAUAUUUAUUAUUAGUUUUACUUUUUACUAAAUAUAUGUUUACUUAUGCCAAGAUUUCAUGUAUUUUGUUUUGUUAUUUUGAAGGGUUCUAAUUCUUUAAAUGCUCCUCCUAGACCUCCAAAUUCAUUUUCUAGUUGUGAUGCCAAUUCAGUUAAGGGUAAUUCAAAUCAAAUGGGCAAGAAGACUUGUUGAAGUUGAAGUUGAAGUUGAAGUUGAAACUGAAGAUGGGGGAAUGGAUGUGCUUUCUGAAUUUCUUUCGCCGUAGAUGGGUUCUUUUUGAAAAACAUGUACUACAUUUGUCAAAAAUUCUUAAUUCUUUUUGUGUGACAUUUAGUAGUUUUAUCUAGACAAUUUGGAUUGUAUCUUCAUAUUGGCAGGUUAACUUGUGGUUGUAUAACAUUUUCGCUUUUUGGUU